rnacentral:rRNA from 1 species
UACGUAGGGUGCAAGCGUUGUCCGGAAUUAUUGGGCGUAAAGAGCUCGUAGGCGGUUUGUCGCGUCUGCUGUGAAAACCCGAGGCUCAACCUCGGGCCUGCGAGUGGGUACGGGCAGACUAGAGUGCGGUAGGGGAGAUUGGAAUUCCUGGUGUAGCGGUGGAAUGCGCAGAUAUCAGGAGGAACACCAAUGGCGAAGGCAGAUCUCUGGGCCGUAACUGACGCUGAGGAGCGAAAGCAUGGGGAGCGAACAGG